AGAGUUUGAUCCUGGCUCAGAAUCAACGCUGGCGGCGCGCUUAACACAUGCAAGUCGCACGAGAAAGGGGGCAACCCUGAGUAAAGUGGCGCACGGGUGAGUAACACGUGGGUAUCUACCUUUUUGUGGGGAAUAACUUGGGGAAACCCGAGCUAAUACCGCAUAAGCUCGAGAGAGGAAAGCCGAAAGGCGCAGAAAGAGGAGCCCGCGGCUGAUUAGCUAGUUGGUGAGGUAAUGGCUCACCAAGGCAAAGAUCGGUAGCCGGCCUGAGAGGGCACACGGCCACACUGGCACUGAAACACGGGCCAGACUCCUACGGGAGGCAGCAGUGGGGAAUCUUGCACAAUGGAGGAAACUCUGAUGCAGCGACGCCGCGUGAACGAUGAAGCCCUUCGGGGUGUAAAGUUCUUUCGUCAGGAACGAUAAUGACGGUACCUGGAGAAGAAGCUGCGGCUAACUACGUGCCAGCAGCCGCGGUAAUACGUAGGCAGCAAGCGUUGUUCGGAAUUAUUGGGCGUAAAGAGUAUGUAGGUGGUGUCGUAAGUUUGGUGUGAAAUCUC
rnacentral:rRNA from 1 species